rnacentral:rRNA from 1 species
GAUUAUGGCUCAGGAUGAACGCUAGCGACAGGCCUAACACAUGCAAGUCGAGGGGCAGCGGAGAGGUAGCAAUACCUUUGCCGGCGACCGGCGCACGGGUGAGUAACACGUAUGCAAUCCACCUGUAACAGGGGGAUAACCCGGAGAAAUCCGGACUAAUACCCCAUAAUAUGGGCGUUCCGCAUGGAGAGCUCAUUAAAGAGAGCAAUUUUGGUUACAGACGAGCAUGCGCUCCA